rnacentral:rRNA from 1 species
GACGAACGCUGGCGGCGUGCUUAACACAUGCAAGUCGAACGAAGAGCGAUGGAAGCUUGCUUCUAUCAAUCUUAGUGGCGAACGGGUGAGUAACGCGUAAUCAACCUGCCCUUCAGAGGGGGACAACAGUUGGAAACGACUGCUAAUACUGCAUACGAUCUAAACUCGGCAUCGAUGAUAGAUGAAAGGUGGCCUCUACAUGUAAGCUAUCACUGAGGGAGGGGAUUGCGGCUGAUUAGCUAGUUGGAGGGGUAAAGGCCCACCAAGGCGAUGAUCAGUAGCCGGUCGGAGAGGAUGAACGGCCACAUUGGGACUGAGACACGGCCCAGACUCCUACGGGAGGCAGCAGUGGGGAAUCUUCCGCAAUGGACGAAAGUCUGACGGAACAACGCCGCGUGAGUGAUGACGGCCUUCGGGUUGUAAAGCUCUGUUAAUCGGGACGAAAGGCCUUCUUGCGAAUAGUGAGAAGGAUUAACGUUACCGGAAUAGAAAGCCACGGCUAACUACGUG